AACGAACGCUGGCGGCAUGCCUAACACAUGCAAGUCGAACGAGACCUUCGGGUCUAGUGGCGCACGGGUGCGUAACGCGUGGGAACCUGCCCUUAGGUUCGGAAUAACUCCCCGAAAGGGGUGCUAAUACCGGAUAAUGUCUUCGGACCAAAGAUUUAUCGCCUUUGGAUGGGCCCGCGUUGGAUUAGCUAGUUGGUAGGGUAAAAGCCUACCAAGGCGACGAUCCAUAGCUGGUCUGAGAGGAUGAUCAGCCACACUGGGACUGAGACACGGCCCAGACUCCUACGGGAGGCGGCAGGGGGGAAUAUUGAACAAUGGGCGAAGCCUGAUCCAGCAAUGCCGCGUGAGUGAUGAAGGCCUUAGGGUUGUAAAGCUCUUUUACCCGGGAUGAUAAUGACAGUACCGGGAGAAUAAGCUCCGGCUAACUCCGUG
rnacentral:rRNA from 1 species